rnacentral:rRNA from 1 species
CACGUAGGGUGCGAGCGUUGUCCGGAAUUAUUGGGCGUAAAGAGCUCGUAGGCGGUGUGUCGCGUCGGCCGUGAAAACCUGCAGCUUAACUGUGGGCUUGCGGUCGAUACGGGCAUCACUGGAGUUCGGCAGGGGAGACUGGAAUUCCUGGUGUAGCGGUGAAAUGCGCAGAUAUCAGGAGGAACACCGGUGGCGAAGGCGGGUCUCUGGGCAGUAACUGACGCUGAGGAGCGAAAGCGUGGGUAGCAAACAGG